rnacentral:rRNA from 1 species
GAGUUUGAUCGUGGCUCAGAUUGAACGCUGGCGGUAUGCUUAACACAUGCAAGUCGAACGGUAACAGGAGAGAGCUUGCUCUUUUGCUGACGAGUGGCGGACGGGUGAGUAAUGCGUAGGAAUCUGCCUAGUAGUGGGGGACAACGUGUGGAAACGCACGCUAAUACCGCAUACGCCCUACGGGGAAAGCGGGGAGUCUUCGGACCUCGCGCUAUUAGAUGAGCCUACGUUAGAUUAGCUAGUUGGUGGGGUAAAGGCCUACCAAGGCGACGAUCUAUAGCUGGUCUGAGAGGAUGAUCAGCCACACUGGGACUGAGACACGGCCCAGACUCCUACGGGAGGCAGCAGUGGGGAAUAUUGGACAAUGGGCGAAAGCCUGAUCCAGCAAUACCGCGUGUGCGAAGAAGGCCUGAGGGUUGUAAAGCACUUUCAAUUGUGAAGAAAUAUUUAAGGUUAAUAACCUUAAAUUUUGACGUUAACUUUAGUAAGAAGCGACCGGCUAACUCCGUGCCAGCA